rnacentral:rRNA from 1 species
GACGAACGCUGGCGGCGUGCUUAACACAUGCAAGUCGAACGAACAGACCCGGCGCUUGUGGCGUGCUCGAGUGGCGAAGAGGGGAGUGAAACACGAGUAUCAUGCACUUGACUGUCGGAUAAAAUCACGGGACUCGGGCUAAUACAGCGUAGGAGAUCCUGAUGCAUGGGGGGGGUUGGAGAGUUUCGGCGGUUGGGGAUGGACUCGAGGGUUAUCAGCUGGUUGGUGGGGUAGGGGAUGACCAAGGCUUUGACGGGUAGCCGGCCUGAGAGGGUGACCGGCGACAAUGGUACUGCGAGAGGCACCAGUAGCCUAUGGGAGGCAGUAGUGGGGAGUAUGACAGAAUGGGCGGAAGCCUGAGGCAGCAACGCCGCGUUCGUGAUGAUGUCCUUCGGGUUGUAAACCGAUGUGGCCGGUGACGAAGCCGGAGUGACGGUAAUGGGUAAAGAAGCAACGGCUAACUACGUG